rnacentral:rRNA from 1 species
UACGAAGGGGGCUAGCGUUGUUCGGAAUUACUGGGCGUAAAGGGCGCGUAGGCGGCCUGUUUAGUCAGAAGUGAAAGCCCCGGGCUCAACCUGGGAAUAGCUUUUGAUACUGGCAGGCUUGAGUUCCGGAGAGGAUGGUGGAAUUCCCAGUGUAGAGGUGAAAUUCGUAGAUAGUUGGGAAGAACACCGGUGGCGAAGGCGGCCAUCUGGACGGACACUGACGCUG